rnacentral:rRNA from 1 species
AUACGGAGGAUCCGAGCGUUAUCCGGAUUUAUUGGGUUUAAAGGGAGCGUAGGUGGAUUGUUAAGUCAGUUGUGAAAGUUUGCGGCUCAACCGUAAAAUUGCAGUUGAAACUGGCAGUCUUGAGUACAGUAGAGGUGGGCGGAAUUCGUGGUGUAGCGGUGAAAUGCUUAGAUAUCACGAAGAACUCCGAUUGCGAAGGCAGCUCACUAGACUGUUACUGACACUGAUGCUCGAAAGUGUGGGUAUCAAACAGGAUUAGAUACCCUGGUAGUCCACACAGUAAACGAUGAAUACUCGCUGUUUGCGAUAUACAGUAAGCGGCCAAGCGAAAGCGUUAAGUAUUCCACCUGGGGAGUACGCCGGCAAGGGUGAAACUCAAAUGAAUUGACGGGG